GUGCUCACAUCAGCAGUACAUAUACUAAAAUUAGAAUGAAACAGAGAUUAGCAUGGCCCCUUCACAAGGAUUGUAGGCAAAUUUGGAUAGUGUUCUAUAUAUUU
ensembl:snRNA Gm25047 predicted gene, 25047